GAUGAACGCUGGCGGCGUGCUUAACACAUGCAAGUCGAGCGGAAAGGCCCAAGCUUGCUUGGGUACUCGAGUGGCGAACGGGUGAGUAACACGUGGGUGAUCUGCCCUGCACUUCGGGAUAAGCCUGGGAAACUGGGUCUAAUACCGGAUAGGACGAUGGUUUGGAUGCCAUUGUGGAAAGUUUUUUCGGUGUGGGAUGAGCUCGCGGCCUAUCAGCUUGUUGGUGGGGUAAUGGCCUACCAAGGCGUCGACGGGUAGCCGGCCUGAGAGGGUGUACGGCCACAUUGGGACUGAGAUACGGCCCAGACUCCUACGGGGGGCAGCAGUGGGGAAUAUUGCACAAUGGGCGCAAGCCUGAUGCAGCGACGCCGCGUGGGGGAUGACGGCCUUCGGGUUGUAAACUCCUUUCGCUAGGGACGAAGCGUUUUUGUGACGGUACCUGGAGAAGAAGCACCGGCUAACUACGUG
rnacentral:rRNA from 1 species